UAAUUGAUGGGGUUAUCCUCACGGAGAAGCUCUUGAUCGAAGCCCCGGUAAACGGCGGCCGUAACUAUAACGGUCCUAAGGUAGCGAAAUUCCUUGUCGGGUAAGUUCCGACCUGCACGAAUGGCGUAAUGAUGGCCAGGCUGUCUCCACCCGAGACUCAGUGAAAUUGAACUCGCUGUGAAGAUGCAGUGUACCCGCGGCAAGACGGAAAGACCCCGUGAACCUUUACUAUAGCUUGACACUGAACACUGGUCCUUGAUGUGUAGGAUAGGUGGGAGGCUUUGAAGUGUGGACGCCAGUCUGCAUGGAGCCGUCCUUGAAAUACCACCCUUUAAUGGCUGGUGUUCUAACGUGGGCCCGUAAUCCGGGUUGCGGACAGUGUCUGGUGGGUAGUUUGACUGGGGCGGUCUCCUCCUAAAGAGUAACGGAGGAGCACGAAGGUCAGCUAAUCCUGGUCGGACAUCAGGAGGUUAGUGCAAUGGCAUAAGCUGGCUUGACUGCGAGCGUGACGGCGCGAGCAGGUGCGAAAGCAGGUCAUAGUGAUCCGGUGGUUCUGAAUGGAAGGGCCAUCGCUCAACGGAUAAAAGGUACUCCGGGGAUAACAGGCUGAUACCGCCCAAGAGUUCAUAUCGACGGCGGUGUUUGGCACCUCGAUGUCGGCUCAUCACAUCCUGGGGCUGAAGUAGGUCCCAAGGGUAUGGCUGUUCGCCAUUUAAAGUGGUACGCGAGCUGGGUUUAGAACGUCGUGAGACAGUUCGGUCCCUAUCUGCCGUGGGCGCUGGAGAAUUGAGGGGGGCUGCUCCUAGUACGAGAGGACCGGAGUGGACGCAUCACUGGUGUUCGGGUUGUCAUGCCAAUGGCAUUGCCCGGUAGCUAAAUGCGGAAGAGAUAAGUGCUGAAAGCAUCUAAGCACGAAACUUGCCCCGAGAUGAGUUCUCCCUGACCCUUUAAGGGUCCUGAAGGAACGUUGAAGACGACGACGUUGAUAGGCCGGGUGUGUAAGCGCAGCGAUGCGUUGAGCUAACCGGUACUAAUGAACCGUGAGGCUUAACCUU
rnacentral:rRNA from 1 species